UGUUAUAAGCUUGAAGGUUGAUGUCGA
rnacentral:sRNA from 1 species